AUUUGGGUAUGAUUUAUUUAGAAAUACAAGAUGAAAAUCAUCUUUUUUUAAAAUUAUCUAAAUGUUAAAAUACCCUGAAAACAUUUUUUUAUUAUACUUUAAGUUUUAGGGUACAUGUGCACAACGUGCAGGUUUGUUACAUAUGUAUACAUCUUAAUUCAAGGAAUGUCACUUUUAAAAAAAUGAAAAUGUGAAAAGUCUUUUGAAGCAGCAAUCUGGUCUCUUUGGGCACUGCUAGAUACAACGGGUAUUUGUCUGCUUUCACUCACAUUUCUUAGCUGAGGAUUCAUCUCUGGGAGGCUGAGGAUGGAACAGACAGUUUAUACUUGGAUUAGUGCCCAUUCCUUUCCACGGGAUACCUUUAUAUGUGGAAGAGCUAGAGAUGUACCUAUUUUCUAGGUGUGACAGAAUGGCUUCCAGUGGAUUUUCAAAUUUUGGCUUUAAAAACAUUGUUGAGAUGCCAGUUACUGAAUUGAAAUGUCCAAGGUACCCAGCAAAGGCACCUGAGGUGGCAGAAAUCUCAGGCAUGACUAACAAAUGCCAGGCAUUUCUGAGGAACAAUAUGCAUGCUGUUCACUUCUUUAGAAUAUUUAAAAAAUGAUGAAAUAAAAAAUGAAAAUAACUCACGUGUGGAAAAUAAUACUGACAUUUUAAACUAAUGCUUAAGUGUGUGAUCUGGCAUUUCUAUGAUUUUGGACAAUGUCGGGGUGAACUUGGGUAAGCUUCUUAAUAUCUUUUUUGCUUUCUUUGCACUGUAUAUUAAAUAUGAAUAAUAAUUGUUUCUACUACACAAGAUUGUUGUGAAGAUGAACAGUUUAGUUUCUAGCACACUGUAAAUUCUCAGUAGUCAUUAGUUAUUAUUGUCUAAGAAUACAGUGGAACUCUUGAGUUUACCUAUAAAUUGCAUCUUAAGAAGAAUGUGUAGAAAGAUGAGAAACAGAGAAAGAAAAUAGCUCCGGGGAAUCCUUACCCUGGCUAUUUUUAGUGGAUUGUUUUGUAUUCAUCACUGGGUGAUAUUCUUGCCAGAAGCCAGGUGGGGAGGAUGUCUAACCUUCAUGUGAGACUUUCAAAGUGUAUGACUUAUAAAAUUUUCUAUCAAUAUUAACAAAAUAUUAGACAAUUAAUAGUGGUUUGUAUAGUAACGAUUUUUAGUUCUGAAAAAUAAACAUGAUAUAGAUGAUACCAAUGAGUGUUUUUUUGUUUUGUUUUUGUUUUUGUUUUGUUUUUUUGAGAUGGAGUCUUGCUCUGUCGCUCAGGCUGGAGUGCAGUGGCACGAUCUCGGCUCACUGCAAGCUCCGCCUUCCCGGUCAAGCGAUUCUCUUGCCUCAGCCUCCCGAGUAGCUGCGACUACAAGCGCGUGCCACCACGUGCGGCUAAUUUUUUUGUAUUUUUAGUAGGGACGGGGUUUCACCGUGUUAACCAGGAUGGUCUCGAUCUCUUGUCCUCGUGAUCCGCCUGCCUCAGCCUUCCAAAGCGUUGGGAUUACAGGCGUGAGCCACCGGGCCUGGCCAAUACCAAUGAGCUUUAUUGUAAAAAUGGCACUCAUGAUUUACUCUGAAAAUUGGGACACAUUGUCUCUGCUUUAUCAUUUCCACCAUUCUUGGAACUGAAUUUAUUCAGCAUUCCACAAAGACGAAUUGUCUUUCUUUGCUAUAGCACUGUACUCUCUAUCAUCAUCUCUGAGCGUCUCCAGGUUCUUUAGGUAAAGAUAUAUAAUCUGAAGAUCAAAAGAUGACAUUAAAGAGAGCAACAUUAAAGAAAGCAACAUUUACGCAAGACCAGGGAGCCCCUGGCACAUGGCAUAUUGAUGUGGCAGUUUGGAUUUGAGAAUAAGGAUGCAAAACCUAGAGUGAAUGUAUAUGGUAUAUACUCAGGCAUUGGAAAAGUUAGAUGGAAAGGAUUCCAUACCAUACGAGCGAUGGAAUGUGGAUCCAGUGCAAUAAACGUGACCUGUGAGGACACAGUCAGCAAUUUGUUCAUAAUACAAGGGUACAUUCUGAAGUCAUGGGCUGCAGAACUUGAGGAGUUAGUACAGAGAAGGAUCAUUUAAGACAGAUAGAUAUAUGCUCCCUUCCAUUCAGGGAAAGUCAUUUGGAUAAGGUGCUUUUUGGAGGCUUUUUUGAUGAAAAUGUGAAGAGAGCAGGGAAUGGGGAAUUGUUAUUUAAUGGAGUGAGUUACAGUUUGAGAAAAUGAAAAAGUUCUGAAGGAAGGCGACACACUCCCUCUGCAUUUUCUCAUUGUGCCGUUAUCAUCUUACCUGGGUCUAUCAGCUGGUGCCUGGGCAAGCAACAGAUGGUAUAUUCAAAUAGAGUAAUUGAAGAGAGUUUAAUGAAGUUAAUAUUUUCUAAGGUAUGGGCAGAGUUAGGAGAACCAAUGGAAGAGUGAAGAACCAGAGACUAGCAAUGCUGGAAUCAAUUAUUGUUCCUAGACUCUGACGUUACUAGAAGACAAAGAGAGCUUUAGCUAUAGGAGAGAGACAACCAACAGGAGCGAAGAGGUUGAAGGAACCAUGCUUUUGGGAUCAUGGAAAGACUAGAAAAAUGAACUAAAGAACUUCAGAACAUAGAGUCCCUGAACAGUUUGGUUAUGCUACCAUGAUUCAGCUUCAAAAGAGCGUCCAAAACAGAAUCCUACCUGUAACUGAAAUUUUUUACUGUUAUUUAACAAAGUAUGAAACAUUGUUCAUGUACGUUAUUUAAUGUGAAAAAAAUAAAAAUAAAUGGAAAAUGUCCUUUCUGUUAUUGACCUUAAUAAAUUUAUGUAGUUUUAAAAACGAAGAGGUUUAGGAGAAAAUAUCAAUGCCAGUUUUGAAGACUCACAAUGAGUCUAGUUAGAAUCAAAAGUUUCAAAAAAAAAAACAGUUGUUUAAGUCAUAGAUAAUUUAUUCUGGUCUCACAUUAUUUUAAACAGCUGCAUGUAUAAUAGAAAGGAUCCAGGGAUCAAGAAUUGAAGUGUUAGACUUAACAUUGCCACUUUCUAGAUGUGUGAACUUGGGGAACAAAAUUUGACCAUCUCUGAGUCUCAGUUCAUAUAUCUAUAUUUAGAAGACAAUUUUCAGUGCUUCUUAUCUCUCACAGGAUGGUUCUGAGUAUUGAGAUAAAGGACUGAUAAUUUGUGAACUGUUUUACACCUCUAAUAUUACUUACUACUUUUAAUAAUUAGGGUAAGAUAUUUUCUCUCAAGACAUCAAGAUCUUAGAUUUUAAUAUUUAACAUUCUUAAGUUAAAACCAGUAAAGGUGAGAGGAAAUUGAAGGAAAGUCAAAAAAGAAGAAUAUUUUAAGUAAGCUUUAUAUUGAAGUAUAACAUACCUGCGAACAGUUUAUAAAUCCUAAUCGUUUGUCCUAAUUAAUUAUAACAAAGUUAACAAACUUAAGUAACUACUAGCCAGGUCAAGAAAUAGAACAUUACCAGCAAUCAGAAGGUCCCCGUAUGCUCUGUUAUAAACCAAUAACUACUAUCCUAUUUUCCAAAGAUAACUACUAUCCUGACUUCUAACUUUAUAAUGUAGGGUCGCCUUUUCUUGACUUUUAUAUAAAUGGAAUUAUACAAUAUGUAUUUUAAAAAUCAGCCUUUUAGAGAUGUUAUGUAUAACCAUAGUUGAGUCAUCUUUAUUACUAAACAGUAUUUCAUAUUUCAAAUAUACUAUAAUCUGUUCAGAAAUACUUUUUCAAAUUAAGGAAGUUCCAUUUUAUUUAUAGUUUACUAAGCUUUUUUGUCAAAAGUGGAAGUUUCACUUUUUAAAAUGCCUUUUCUACAUUUCUUGAGAUGAUCACAUGAUUUUUCUCCUUUAUUCUGUUGAAAUAGUAAGAAUUAGAUUGAUUUUAGAAUAUUUAACCAAUCUUGCAUUCCUAAAAUAAACAUAACUUCAUUAUCCAAAGUAAAUGGUACAAAUUUUAUAAUUAUUUCAAAGUGAAAGGUUUAUUUCUUAAAAGAAAGAAAGUGAGAAAGAAAGUGGAGCCAUAUAUUAGCCAGGUUUAGUUGUGGUCAAAACUAACGUACAGUCACUUUAAAGUCGUGAGUUUCAAAAGAAGUUAAAACAAAAUGGAGAGAAAUCAGGGAUCAGGUUUAGACUGAUGGGGUAGGCAAAAGCAUAAAUAAGAAACAUAAACAGUCAAUUUAAAACUGUUAAGACUCAGAAUUUCAGAAUCAGUUGAUAAACUGUGAACAACACAUUAGAAGGCAUAACUGGGUGGGAAUCUUUAGGGGUGGGAGGUGAUUCACCUGACUUAGAGACCCCGCCAUGGGUCGAAAGCAUAGGAAUCUCCACCAACCAUUCUGCUGUUCUUCUUUGCUAUACUAAUAAUAAUGAUAACAACAACAACAACAACAACAACAAUAAUAGCUGUUAAUAAGAAAUAAAAUGGAAGAAGGCUUAGAAUUUUAAUGGAAGCUCAGAAUGAUUACCAUUACCAUUUAGUCCAAGAUCCAGUGGUACAUCUAUAAGCCAGGGUCAGUUUAGGACAGUUUUUCACUGGUGCUGACAGAAAUUAAGGAACUCAGUCUUCUCGCUGAAUUUGCCAGAUUAGAAGUAUUUUUCAGUUGCUUGAAACAAAAUUACAGUCAUGCAUCACUUAAUGAUGGGGAUACAUUCUGUGAAAUAUGUCAUUAGGCGAUUUUGCAAUGGGAACAUCAUAGAGUGUAGUUACAUAAACCUAGAUGGUAUAGCCUGGUAAAUAUUUGUGUAUCUAAAAGUUUCUAAACAUGAAAAAGGUACUAUAAAAAUACAUUAUUAUAAUCUUAUUGGACCACCAUUUAAAAUGGGAUCUGUCAUUCUGUCAUUGACUGGUGUCUUUGAACUGCAGUUCAGUCAUUGACUGAAAUGUCAUUAUGUGGUACUUGACUGUAGUUCCUUCUAUAUAUUAGACUACUGACAGUUACAUGAGCGUCUAACACUGCAAAGCAUUGAGAAUACAAAGUGUUCUUUGUAUUCUAAGAAAGCACAAUUUCUAACCUUAAGGAAAUUAUAAUUUGGUUGUGAGAACAUCGGUUAAAUUCAAAUUAAUAAAUUUUCAUACACAUUAUUGUUAAUGCUCAACAUCAUGUGGGAAUGUGUGGAUAGCAAAUCUUAGUUCAAUGUAGAGGGAAAUUUCCAUGGGGAUAGGAGGUUGGAUGAGUUCCCAAAGAGCAUAUAACCUUAACUCCACUGAUAACUGUUUAAAACUUAAAAUAACAGAGAGUAUGGCAGAGGACACAGCUGGUUAGGAAAGUGGACUUGAGAAGGCAUUGUGUUUGUUUGGAUUAAGGUCAUCUAUACUGACAGAAAACCCAAAAUAACAAUGGCUUAAGCAAAACAGAAAUGUAUUUCUUCUUUUCCUAGUUUGUCAAUCAUCUGUGUCUGGCAUGAUAUUCCAAGGUAUCAGGAAACCAGGUUCCUACUUUCUUUUGCUCUGAUAUCUUCAAGCACACAGUUUCAUCUCAGUGUCCUGUAUGGCUUCUCAGGCACCAGUAAUUACAUCCCAAGCACUAGAAGGAAAGAAGCACAGGCACUUCCUCUUCCUUUAAGGAAAUAUAGUACCUAGAAGUCCUUCAUGGCCUGAGCUUUGUCACAUGGCACACUUGCCUGAAAGAGAGGCUGGGAAAUAUAGGCUUUAUUCCAGGUAGCCAUGCACCUAACUAAAGAUUAGUGAUCUAUUUAUAAAGUAGGAACAAACAUAUACUGAGAGAGUAAGAGAACUCUGCCAAAGUUAUUGGCACAGGAGCGUAGGUGUGAGGAAUGUUGGACAAGUGUGAGGAGACAGAUUGACUGAAACAGAUAAUUUUUGUAUCUCAUAUAUCCAACACAAGAAAAUAACUUGGUCAUGAGUGAAGGGAAUCACAGAUAGUUCUCUUAAAGAAAAAUCCAGCCUUAUUCAGUUUGACUUUAACAAUGAAGUCACUCUUUUUUUCUUUUUUGUUUGUGGCCCCUUGAUAGAAAAAAAAAGAGCUAUUUAUAUCAUCCUUGCUAAGGGGGACUAAUUCUGCAAGGUCUCUAGGUUCAUUCUUCUGUGGUAUGUAUCUGCUCAGAUUAUUACACAAUGCAAAUUGGAAGUACUGAGAACUCUACUAGAAGGAAUGCAUCUUAAACUAGAAUUUCAGAAAAUAACACAAUUCUGUAAAAAAAAUCUCAAAUGGUGUUUUAGAAGAAAGACCCUGUGAAGUGGACGGGGAAAAAAUGGAAUCUCUUCAGGUUAGUCUGCUUUUUGUUUAUGUAGAAGAGAGAUUAAACAUAUAAAUGAAGGCAUGAGGCACCAUCCUCAUCUUUUCCCAUUUUCAGGCAUAGGUUUGGCUCUGCCCUUCCCAUCUCAACUAUUAUCUAAGUCACAUGCUAGGCAAUUAGUAGAUCUUUUUAAAUAAAAAAUGUUUAUUUGCCUUUCUAAUUUACCAUUGUAACACUAGAACUCAGAGAAAGCAUUUUAACUUUUAUAGUAAGCAAUAAAAAAGCCUCAUAAAGCUUCUCACAACAACUUCAUUCAUUUCAGAAGUUAAGAUACUUUCCUUAUGAAUACCAACAUUGUGACAUUUGUGUUGCCAAUUAUUUUCUCUGGAAUCAUUCUUUUAACUUCACUUCCUGUUGUUUGGGAAGACUUUGCAGAGAACAUAUUUUUAAUAGGCUAUAAUCACACGGGCAACAGAGAUCUUGGCAAGUAGCUAUUAACGGUAUAGACAGAAACUUGGAGUGUGAUGGUUUUAGACUUCCUGUGCUUCAUGAUGCUAUUUUAAUGCACUAAGAGUAUAAACUAAAUUUAGAUCCUGCUGACUGUUGCUGGAGUGAGUGCAUGUCUCUUUUGCAGACAAUGCUAGAUUUAGUUUCUGUGUAUUUUUGUCAAGCUGGGAAUGCAGUUUGAAGCUCCCAGCCCUUCUAAGCAUUUUUAUAGCUAUACAUAUGUAUUUCAUGACUGCUUUGAUUUGCAACUGGUCACUUAAGUUUUGUUGUUCUUAAAGCGGUUACUGACACUUGUGGUGUUUUGUGUGUGUGUGUGUGUUCAUUGCAUUUUAUGUCAAUAAAUCCUGGGGUUAUACUAAAAGUUAAUUUCUGACAGUAAGCCCAUAUUACUCCCUGAGUAUUUCUCUAUUCCACAGUUUUUCAACCUCAGCACCAUUUGGCAUGUUUAGCAGCAUCCUUGGCCUCUACUCAUUAGAUACCAGUAAACACUUCUCUCCACUUCAGUGGUGACAACAAAAAUGUCUCAGACAUUACCAAUUGACCCCUGAGGGACAAAAUCCCCCCCAGUGAGGAACCACUUUCCACUCUAAUCCGUCCACUUCUUUCCAACUCCUUCACUACUGCCACAGUCCAGGCUACUGUCAUCAGCAGAUGAUGGCAACAGCUCCCUGUGGGGCUGUUCUGCCUGUCCCCUGGCUGCUCUCCAGGUCAUUCUCCAUAUUGUAGCCAGAAUGAUCUUUUCAAAACUCAAAUCUCAUCAUGUUACUCCCUUUAAAAAUACUGUCGGCCUCACGCCUGUAAUCCCAGCACUUUGGGAGGCCAAGGCAGGCGGAUCAUGACGUCAGGAGAUCGAGACCAUCCUGGCUAACACGGUGAAACCCCGUCUCUACUAAAAAUACAAAAAAUUAGCCGGGUGUGUUGGUGGGCGCCUGUAUUCCCAGCUACUUGGGAGGCUGAGGCAGGAGAAUGGCGUGAACCCGGGAGGUGGAGCUUGCAGUGAGCAGAGAUCGUGCCACUGCCCUCCAGCCUGGGUGACAAAGCGAAACUCCGUCUCAAAGAAAAAAAAAAUACUGUUGGCCAGGCGCAGUGGCUCAUGCCUGUAAUCCCAGCACUUUGGGAGGCCAAGGCAGGCGGAUCAUGACGUCAGGAGAUCGAGACCAUCCUGGCUAACACGGUGAAACCCCGUCUCUACUAAAAAUACAAAAAAUUAGCCGGGCGUGGUGGCGGGCGCCUGUAACCCCAGCUACUCGGGAGGCUGAGGCAGGGGAAUCACUUGAACCCAGGAGGCAGAGGUUGCAAUGAGCGGAGAUCAUGCCACUGCACUCUAGUCUGGUGACAGAAUGAGACUCCAUCUCAAAAAAAAAAAAAAAAAAAAAAUUACUGUCAGUAUUUUUCAAUGACUUAGUACACAGAUACAACUCUUGAAAGUGGCCUGCCAAAUUCAUCCUAGUUGGACACAAAGCACUCCUUGGCCUCACCUCAACCCACUUUCUCAUACCAGUUGAGGCCCUUAUACCUGCCCUUUUCCUCCUGCUCUUGCCUUACUCAACCUCUUUCCUCUUACCUGCAUGACUCACACUCACUCUUCAGUUCUGCCUUCAGCCUCAAGCUGCCAGUGUAUUCUUAUUUGACGAUGUAGGAACAAAUCAGAUUGACAAGGUACUGGUAAUUCUAGGUCAAUUGGAUUAGAGUCAAUUAUCCGAAAACUACUUUAUCAAAAGACCCGAUUAUUGAACUAAGUCAGCAAAUACAGUUGACCCUUGAACAAUGUGGGAUAGGACUGCAUGGGUCCACUUACAUGCAGAUUUUCUUCCACCUCUGCCAGCCUGAGACAGCAAGCCAGUGCCUCCUCUUCCUCCUCCUCAGCCUACUCUACAUGAGGAUGACAAAGGUGAAGAACCAUAUGAUGAUCUACUUCUACUUAAUGAAUAGUAAAUAUAUUUUUCUUCCUUAUUUUCUAAAUAAGAUUUUCUUUUCUCUAGCUACCUUAUUGCAAAAAUAUAAUGUAUAAUACAUCUGCUAUAUAAAAUAUUUGUUAACCAAAUGUGUUAUCAGUAAGGCUUUUGGUCAACAGUAGACUAUUAGCAGUUAGGUUUUGGGGAGUUGAAGUUACUUGUGAAUUUUUGACUGCGUGGGGGUUGCUGCCCCUAACUCCCAUAGUAUUCAAGGGUAACUGUAUACAAAUUUAACACAACCUUGAUUUUCUUUUUACUCUGUAUAGUGUUUCCUACAGUGAGUUUUGCAUGGGUUAGAUAAGAUUUUAGGGAACUAUGAGGAUUGUGAGGAGUUAGUAUUUGUGGAUUUGGGGGUUAUAAGGCUUUCUCCCUACCUGUGAGCCCUGUCCCUCUAUUCAGUUUUCCCUCUCUGGGACUAGACCACCCAUGUGCUGACCUGUGUCUCCAUCUAGCAGACAGCUGGAGUCAGAAUCAAGUUUAAAAUUCCUUAAAAUGCAGUUAUGGUAACAUAAGGAAAAGAAGAAAUCUUCAAAAUCUAUUAAAAUAUUUCACAUAAUAUGUGUGACUUCAUAGUUUGUAAGCAGAUAAAAACACAAUUUGCUAAAUUGUUGAAGCUGAUAAAUUCAGUUUGUCUUUUGGAGUUAUAAGGAAAGGAUCCUGAAAAUUCUAGAAUAUUGGCAAGAUUGAUAAUGACUUUAAAAUAAUUCAAUAGAAAUCAGUAUCAGGUGAAGGUUUCCCAUGUGAAAUUUGGGUUAUAUUUAUAAGAAUGAAUUCAUUCAUAAGACUAAACCACCCAUUGCCCCCUAACUUUUGACAAAUUAAAUAUUAUUUUAAAAGGUCAUAAAGCCAAUGUAUUUUUACUACAGUCAAGAAAAAUACGUCAUAGUUGCUCAAUUACAAUUCUACAUUUACUUGAUUAAUAAUAAUCCGUCUCCUUCACUACAUUAAAAGCUCCAUGAGAGCAGGAAUUGCGACCAUUUUUUGCUCAUUAAUUAUCUACAGUGCAUAUUGUAGUACCAGGCAUAGAGUAGAUGUUCAUUUAAAUCUUGUUGAAUAGACAAAUAUUUUUUUCAAAGGAAUGCAAUAUUAGCCUUUAAUAUAUAAUAAUAGCAUUGCAAGUAGUCCCUGGCCUUACAAAAACUAUUGAUAAUUUAGGAUAUAGUUCUGUAUAAACAAUGAUAUAUAAUAACAUAUAUAGUAACUGUGCAUCUAAGAUCAAUACAUUUAAUUUAAUCUUUUGAUAGUUAUAUCAAACAUUUCAUUUUCAGAUAAAAGUCUGCAUGAUUUUAUGUUGCAUAAAAAGGUUUAUAAAUCUUAUUUACUGCUGUAAAUGAAAUAAUGUGGUUCUUUAUUAAGUUUAAGAAAUAUUCCAUUGUGAGAGUAUUUUAAAAAGUUAUGAAAUAGUAUCUUCAAAUAAAACUAGAAUAUGAGUAUUGUCUUUAGAUUAAACAGAUUCCAGUUAAUUGUUGGCAGUGAUGCUUUUGUAGUUUGAGUUGAUGUCAUUCUGAGAUGAGUCAGAAUACAUAUGAAUAUAGUAGGCUUUCCAAAGGGGCUGGAGAAGAGGAAAGUCAAGUGAAGGAGGCAGAAGGAAGGGGGGCAACAGGUAGGCCUGAGAGAAAAAUUGCCUUUUUUUUUUUUUUUUUUUUGAGACGGAGUCUCGCUCUGUCGCCCAGGCUGGAGUGCAGUGGCGCGAUCUCGGCUCACUGCAAGCUCCGCCUCCCGGGUUCACGCCAUUCUCCUGCCUCAGCCUCCCGAGUAGCUGGGACUACAGGCGCCCGCUACCACGCCCGGCUAAUUUUUUGUAUUUUUAGUAGAGACGGGGUUUCACCGUGUUAGCCAGGAUGGUCUCGAUCUCCUGACCUCGUGAUCCGCCCGCCUCGGCCUCCCAAAGUGCUGGGAUUACAGGCGUGAGCCACCGCGCCCGGCCGAAAAAUUGCCUUUUUAAUUUUAUUCAGGGUCUUGUUUGAAAACUGCCAUAAUUCCAACACAUGGUCUCAUUUUUUCUUCUAAAUUCUUCUUCCACAUAAAACAUUAAUACCAGUUAUUUAAUCUCUUAAUGAUCAUUAUGGGGUCUACUAUCCAUAAUUCUUCAAUUAUUUCAUAUUUUGUAUACUAUACUUUAUAACUUUAAUUAAGAGAUUUGUGAAAAGCGUAUGAUGUUUUCUGUUUCUGUCUUUUGCUCAUGGUGGCUCAUAAUUUUGGAUUGUGAGCUCAUGUUUCACUGGGCUUUCUCUGUGGGAACUUCAAGCCAUGGGUUGAGGAUGCACUUCUUUAGAAAAAAUCACUUUAGUUACUUCCAGGUGCUCUAGGAUGCAACCAACCCUGGAACAUAUAUGUUACUUCGCUUGGCUUGGGGUUUCUUGGACCAGGAAGAUAGUGAAUAUCUAAAUCCUGAACCAUGUAAGGAUAGGACUAUGGUUAUAAAUUCUCAGAAAGCCACUCUCUCCCCUCAAUAUCUAACCAAAACAGACGGCUUUUCUUGCCAUCUCGCUUUGCUGUUGAGUAGAUUUCUCUGCAAAGGAUUUGGCCUUAAGUUUCAUUUUUUUAACUCCCCACCUUGCAGAGGAGCAGAGCCUUGAUUUUUGCUUCUAUUCAGCUGUCAGACCUAAGUCUCUAGGAUACCCACAUUGGAAUGCCCUCAGCUGUCUUAGUUCAUUUUGGCUACUAUAACAAAAAAAGUCUUAAACUUGGUGGCUUAUAAACGACAGAAAUUUAUUUCUCACAGUUCUGAGGCUGGGAAUUCCAAGAUCAAGGGGCUAACAGAUUCUGUGUCUGGUAAGGACCCACUUCAUCAUAGAUGAAAAAGAGUUUUCUCUGCAUCCUCACUUGGUGGAAGAGGUAAGGAGUCUCUCAGACAUCUUUUAUAAGGGCACUAAUUCCAUUCAUCGGGCCUCUACUCCCAGUUGUCUCCCAAAGGCCUCACCUCCUAAUACCAUCGCCUUGGGGGUUAGGAUUUCAACGUAAAAUUUGGGAGGGACACAAACAUUCAGACCAUAGCAUUCUACCCCUCACUCCUCCCCUAAACCUCAUGUCUUUCUUCCAUACAAAAUACAUUCAUCCCAUCCCAAGAGAACCGAAAGUCUUGACUUGUUUCAGCAUUGACUCAAAAGUCUAAAGUCCAAAGUCUUAUCUAAAUAUUAUCAAAAUCAGAUAUCGGUGAGACUUAAGGUAUGAUUUAUUCUGAGGCAAAUUCCCCUCCAGCUGUAAGCCUCUGAAAUCAAACAGGUUUUGUGCUUCUAAACUGUAGUGGUGGGGUAGGCACUGGACAAACAUUCCUAUUCCAAAAGAGAGAAAUAGGAAAGAAGAAAUAAGUGAUAAAUUCUGAGUGAGAACAAAAUCUUAAGGCUCAAGAAUGAUCUUUGAUUCAAAGCUCUGCCUUCCAGACCCACUGGAGCUGUGGUCCCACCUUCUGGACACAUUGGGGCAGAGGUUGGAUCUGCAGGAUUCCAAGCAGCCCUGUCCACACUGCUUUGUAGGGCAUAGCCCAUGUCACAGCUCUCAAGAGUUUGAAUUGGACACCUGCAGUUCUCUUGAGCUGGAAUCUUACCCGGGUGUCUCUACCACCCCAGGGUAUCAGGAGCAGCCAUUUUGUCCCAGUUCUGCUAGGCCUUGCCCUAGUAGGGGCUCUGUGCAGUGGCGCUGUCCUGGUGACAGUUCUUUGCCUGGGCCCCACAGUUCUCCAGGGCAUCCAAAUCUAGGUGGAGGCAGCCACACCCCCACUGCUUUGCUGGCUGCAGUGCAUGCUACAUCUGGGGCAGCUGGGGAACAUAGGAUGGAGUUCAGAGAGUGGAGUGCAGGUGGCAGAGCCUUGAGACAGAGGGGCUGGGGGAACAGGGCUACAAUGAAGUUUCAUGUGUGCCUGCAGCCCCUUCGUUGAAAUUGUACUACCUACCUCCCUUCUACUGUGUGCCUAUGAUGAGGGUGGCAGCCCUGAUGAUUUCUGAAUUGCUUUUGGAGUCAUUUGUUUUAGCAUCUUGGACAAUAAUAGGUCCUGGAUUUUGUUUAGACAGCUGACUCAUCUUCUCGGAUCAUCAUCAUUUGACCACACCCUUCGUGUUUUGUCUUGAAUAUGUUUUUCAAUAUAAUAGGUUCUGAAUUUCCCAAAGGUUUAAGUUCUGCUUCCCUUUUAUUAAUAAUUCCAUUUUUAAAUUAGCUCUCUCUUCUCACAUUUUACUAAAAUCCCUCAAGAGGGACCAGAUUGCAUCCAUGGUGCAGGCUAAUCAGAAAAAGAGAAUAUUUUUGAGCUGAGCUGGAAAUGACAUGCAGAAAUUCAGUAUUUCAAGCGGGAGGAGCAUAAGAAAAGCCAAAGACACUCUUGGAAGUUCUUAUUGUGUUGAGGAACAUUAAGCAGCUGACAGUCGCCAGAACCAUCUCAAAUAGACAAAGUUUUUAUACUUGAAGGCACUUUGAUACAAUAGUGGUAGCUAAUAUUCACCAAGCAUUUGCUGUGUGCCAGUCACUGUUGCAAGUGCUUCACAUGUAGUAUCUCAUUUAAUUCUUUCAACAAUUCUGUGAGGUGGGUGCCAUUAUCAUCACAUUCUAUAGAUGGAGAAACUAUAGAUAAGUGACUUUUCCAAGGUCACAGAGUUACAGAUGGGCAAGCUAGGAAAACUAAGUCCAGUUAUUCUGACCCAGAGCCCACACUCUUAGCCUUUAUCCUCCACUGCUCACAAUGAAGGCUGGAUUUGCUCUGGAGGAUUUAAUCAAAAGUUCUCAUUUUUGAGAAAUCUCAAUUAAUGAAGAAAGUUUAUCUCUUUAGACUGUAUGUACCCCCUAAAUUCACUCAUUCUUGUUCAAAUUAUUUAAUUAAAUAUUGUCCUUCUCCAAGAAAACUCCGUGAUUAAACGGAUGCCUUUUCAGUGGUAUGUUGGACCAGCUCAUGAGAACCAAUCAUUAGCUUUUCAGAACUUUUGCCAGUUAUUAAAUAUAGCUGUUUUUAAAAUAAAUUAUAUAAAUGUACAUUAAAUGAAUUGUAUUUCAAAGUGAGUAAAAAAUAUUCAAGACCUAUUAGUUCCUAAUGUUUUUUUUGUUUGUUUUUGUUUUUGUUUUUACACUCUACUACUAUCCAUGCUCUUGAGUUUUUCUUAUGACUGUUGCAUAUGUAUGGUGGAAGUACUAUAGAGUAGCAUGCUACUGUACAUCUCCUCCCCAUUCCACACUCAAUAAUGUCAUGCUGUUAGCUGUCAAUUGGCAAUGGUGAAAGUAUUAGCACCAUGAUUUUAUUUUAUUUUUUUUUUUGAGACGGAGUCUCGCUCUGUGGCCCAGGCGGGAGUGCAGUGGCGCAAUCUCGGCUCACUGCAAGCUCCGCCUCCCGGGUUCACGCCAUUCUCCUGCCUCAGCCUCCCGAGUAGCUGGGACUACAGGCGCCCGCCAUCACGCCCGGCUAAUUUUUUUGUAUUUUUAGUAGAGACGGGGUUUCACCGUGUUAGCCAGGAUGGUCUCGAUCUCCUGACCUCGUGAUCCGCCCGCCUCGGCCUCCCAAAGUGCUGGGAUUACAAGCGUGAGCCACCGCGCCCGGCCAGCACCAUGAUUUUGUAAACACUGCUAAUCAGGAAUUUUCCCUCACCUCCAGAGAGCUGGUUGCUCAACAUUUACCACCACACCACCACCAUUAUCUCUUCUUUAAAACAUUUCACCUCAAGUUGAUUCUCAGGAGGGCUCUGUAUUAUAUAGAGGGUUUAACUUGUGAGACCUCUGGUGUCUAAACUGUAUUAGUUCUUCAGUACCUAAAAGAAGUUUGGAAAUGUACAUCAGUUUCUCAUUAACAUAAUUAUUUCAGAAAAUUGAGAAUCCACCUUAGCUUUAAUAACCUCCAAAGAAACCCCAUCCUUGUGUUUCAUGAUCACCAGUGAAUGAAAGCUUCUUGGUUUAAGAAACUCAAAUUCAUUACUCCAGAGUAAAAAUGUGUUUUUUCAUUUUCCCCCUCAAUUUGCUGAAGCUGGGAGCCACUAUCAUGUAGAGGAAAAAGUCAAGAUACCUAGAGGCUGCUUCUGGCUAGGCCACUAAAUAGCCAGGUGAUCUGGGAUUAGUGGUCACUUUGCACUUUAGAAUCAUCUGGAGACUUAAAAAAUAUGCUGGGAAUUUUAAAUAUGCUGAUGACAGGCCCCACCUAAGCCCAUUAAGUCAGAAUCUUUGGGAGUUCGAGCCUGUGUGUUGGUGUGCUUUGAAAUGCUCCUGACAUGGUUUUAAUGUGUAACCAAUUUGAGAACUACUGUUCAAGAUAUUUACAGAGGAUGGACAGUCUGUGAUUAAAGGGUCCCGCUGCAGGGCCAGAACUCCUGCUUUCAAAUCCCCACUCCUCAACUUCCCCUAGCUAUGUAACCUUGGGUAAGUUACCUAGAGUCUCUGGGCUUCAGUUUUCUCGUGUGUAAAAUUAGAAUAAUCAUAAUAUAUUAGUUAAUACAGAUAGAACCUUUAAAGCAUCUUCUGACACUCAAGUAUUUUUUGACAGUAGUACAACUAAAUAUAAAUAUGCUCUCUUCAUAGUUCUGUGUUGUCUCUAUGCUUUGUAACAUACAGCCAUUUACAUACUUGAAGCUGUACCUUGAUAUUCUUUUUACUAUACUUUUUAAGCUUUCCUUUUGUUUUCUAGCCUUUUAAUUAUAUCAAUAUUUCCCCUUUUAACUGCCCCAAAUUCUUUAUUUUCCUUUUAGUUGGAAAACCCCAGACAGGGUAAAGUGCUUCAGAUGGCUCCAAGCCAUUGCUGCACAAUAUCUACUGUAUCAUUUUAAUAAAUCUUUAGAAUUAAAACUAUGAUUUGGCUAAAAAUGAUGUUUUCUUUACAUCACAAAAAAUUAAAAUUGUCCUUUUUUCCCCCUAGCUUAUGAGGUAGUAGCAAUGAAUUUUUGUAGACCCUCCUCUCAGCAGAAACAAAUCAAAUAUAGAAAGUUAAAAAAAAAAAAAAGAAAGGUGUUGGCUCCAGGAACUGCGUGAUAAGAUGAACUUGUAGAGCAAAACACUUUAACCAAAUCUUUAUGUGCAAAACAAAAAUAGAGAAUAUGUACUGUUUCCAUCCAUUUAGCUUAAGGAGGGUUAAUGACUAAUGAAAUAGAAAUAAAGGAGGAACCCAUCAUGAAUAUACUAUUUUAGGAGCAAAAUUCACUGGAAGAAGUAGCUAAAAAGUAGUUUGAUAAAGGAGAAUAUGAUGGCAUGGCAAAUCAAAAGGACAGACUACUGUAUAUUGUGGUCUCUUCAGAUGCCUGUUUUUCAGCGCCUUUGAUAGAGAAAAGGGAAAAAUUAAGGUAACUAUAUGAGUAUUACCAACAAAUAUUUUGAGGUUAAAAAAUGGAAAAGAUUAAUUCAGUACUAUGGUCUUCUGUGACCCUCAUAAUUUUAUAUAUAGAAGGUUGUAGAAAUUAUUAAAUAUCAUGAUGUCGUUAAUAUUAAUGCAUAUUAACCAGUACUCCAAAGUGACUUAUGGAUAGGAUGAUCCUUCAGAGACUUAAGAGGAAUUGAGUACCAUCACUUGUGAUUAACUUUUGCUCUUUUCUUGUGGAGAAAACUAAGUCUAGAUACAUGAAAAGUCAUUUUCUCUUGAUUAGGAUUUGUUUGGUUGCAAGGAAUAGACAGACUCAGGCCAACUUAAGGAGGAGGAGGUCUGUUUUGAGAAUACAGCAGUGAAUCUCAAGAAAUCUAAGGUCAGUGAUUGUAGCUGGCUGGGACUUAAAUACAACUGAUGUCAGUUACCUGGAAAAUCAUAGGGAAUCAUCUUUUCCCUCAAGUCAGUCUUAUGACAUCUGGUCAUCUCUGCACUGUAUGUUGUAUUCUCUCUCUAGGGACCUUUCCUUCUUCCCUAUAAACUCUGGCUUAAACAUAGCUGCCAAUGAAGCUGUUCAGAGCUUGGCACUUUCCAGCAUUUACUCCACUGUUCCACAUCUUCCCAGUUCCUGAGGGAUGGAUUAGCACAUCGUUUUGAACCAGGCCACCAGUCACAUUGUCUCUGAUUAACUGCCCCGAAAUCAGUGACCCACACCUGGUCCAGUCAGCUAUGGCUGGAAUGGGGUAGAGUCAUGUGGUACAAAAAGGGGUUAGAUUAGGUAGAAGAGGCUGGGGGCUGGCAAGCACUGGACACGUUUCUUGUAUUCUGCCUCAACUACAAAAUGGUGGGGGAGAGGGAGACUAAGUUUUUUCCAGGUAAAAGUUGCAGCACAUGCAUAGUACAUGAUUUCUGCAGAAUAUUAGUGACAAAAACUCAGAAGUCUUCCUGGUUUACUACUGUGUUUCCAGACUGUUUUAAGCUCACUCGAUACUAUAUGAUACUAUAUGGCUAUUCUCUAAAUUAUUUUGUUGCAUUACUGAAUGUUAAUGUAGGUAUUAAGAUUGAGUUGGGGGAAAAAAUCCACAGAAAUAGCAUAUCAAUAUCUCUGAAUUUCAGAAUCUUUCCCUUUUGGUGAGGGGAAGGGGGCAGCAGAGAUGAAAAACUAAAAUUUUGCCAAUUGUAUUAUGCCACCAAACCCAAAAAAUGUUAAUUAAUAUAAGAAAUGUAAUACAUAUUUUAUUAUGCAAGUUGUUAACUGAAAGACACAUAAAGAUCUGGGAGUUUUCAUCUUAAUAUGGAUAAAUGUGACAAUCUUCAAAAAAUAACCAUGAUAAAUGAAUCUAGAUAAAACAAAAAACAACAACAGCUACAGGUAUUUUUGUCAGAUGUUGGAGUCUGUUCAUACAUUUUGUAGAUUAGCCCUUUUGGUGAGAGAAAUAUGUGAGCAAAUGAAAAGAGCUCUGUGAUCAGAAUCAGGAAACAUUAGUCUAACAUAAGUUCCAUGAGAGCAAGAGCUCCCGUAGCCUCAGCACUCAGAGCAGGGCCUGGCCCAGAAUGGAAACUCAAUAAAGAUUAAAAGAAUGAAUAAAUAUUCUUAUGAUUAUUUGACAAAAAAAAAGAUGAUUUUCCUCUCUUGGUGUCAGUUUCUUCAUUAAUAAAAUGAGAUGGUUUUGGAGUCAUUUUAAGAAUUGAGAUUCUAUGAUUAUAUGACAUGUAUUCAAAAUUUUGAAACAUCUGUUUGUUAAAUCUUUUCUUAAAACUAUAUUCUCCAUUUGAAAGCAAGUAAUUCCCCUGAAUGAAGCAAUCCUUUAUCUUUUCAUUAGUAAGAUGGUUUGGAAUUUAUAUGUGUGAAUUAUCUUGGAAAACAGUAUAUUACUGAUAAAAAUAUUUUAUAGCUAAUUUAACAAUGUUAAAUCACAGGAGGGGAAGCUAUUGCCAUAUGCCUCUCAGACGAUAUUUCAGCAGUUUUGACUUCAGCUAACUCAACUCUUAUAAAAUACAUGAUUUUCAGUCUCAUAGGCAAACAUCUAUUGUAACCAACUCUGGAAAUAAAACAAAAACCUAUGGUGAUUUCCUUAAUGAAAUUUUUUUUAGAUUUUAUGUUAAUAGGGAGCAAAUCUUAAAAUCUUUUUGGGCUUUCAUCUCCCAACAUUAGAUGUAUCUUAACAUUUUUGUUUGCAAAAUAUCAUCUCACUACAAAAUUGUGCGACUUGUACAAAGUUUCAUGGUCUUGUCCAUCUCCCUCUGAAUAUAUGCCAUGGGCAAACUAGGAAAAACACAUUCCUCCCAGCUGGCAAUCACUCACAUGGGAUAAACAGUCAGAGCAUUUUGCUGCCCUGGGCAAACUCUGCCUGAGAGGACCAGCUGGCUUUGCAUAGAAAUAAGCAAGGUAGAGUGGGUGUACAUUGAGCAGGUAGAGAUUUUUUUUUAAAUGAAAAGAAAAAAAAAAAGAUAGCACUUCUAAUUUAACCCUGUUGAAAAACUUGACAUAUCUGAGCAUCUAUUUUAGGAAAACCUACAUUGCGUUAUUUGAACAUCUGAUAUCCAGUGUAGGAAAGGAGCUGGUGCUCUGUCUGGUGGCAUCACUGAUGACAUAAUACAAUUAUUUUGAUGUGUCCAGUUGUGCAAAGAUGUGACUAGUUCGAACCAUGUUGACUAUACAGCGUGAUGUUGUCAUGGAAAUCUGAUGACACUGAUAGAGAAUAAAUAGUUUAAUGAGGGCCAGGUUAUAAAGGUUUCUGGGGAGCCGCAGCUUCCAAACGUAUAAAUUAUUGCCUUUGUCCAAGUUAAAUGUCUGGGUAGAAAUGGCAUUGUCUUGUCACCAUAGUGGUUAAAAAGAUUUAGUGCCUUGAAAAAAAUCAUGCAUGUAAGCCAGUCUCUGAGCUGGAUUCUCGCCAUCACCUCUCUGAAAGCUUCUGAUGCUCAUCUAUAUGGAUGCAGAGAUGCAGAUACUACAGGUGAAAAGAUUAAGUCACUGAGGAGUUGCGGGAAUUGAUCAUUGUAGCUCACUAUAAAUAUUGUAUUAUCAUUAUCCUCAUUUCCUUUAUGUUGUUUAUUUCACACCACUUACUAUACAUUAGCAUUGUGACAGUGAUCAGUGUGAGCCUCCCGUGUGUCUUUAGUCCACGUGCUUGCACAGGCCUAGCACCUUACUCCUGUGGAAUCAGAGGAUCAGUACGGCCCAGAAGAAACCUGAGAACUUGUCUAGUUCUCAAGAUUUACUUACUAUAAAGUUUUUAAAUGGGAUUAUUUAAAUUAGCUAAUUCUGAAUCCAAGUUUUUAUAAACUGUUUAAAAUUUUUUUCAUAAACACUUACCACUAUCAUUUUUUAAAUGAGGGUUUUUAUAAUUUAGUGCAAAAAAAGUAAAAACACAGAAAAUGGUAAAUAAUAAACAAAAAUCCUGCAAUGUUAACAGAUUUUGGAGUACUUCCUUCCAAAUAUGUUUCUGUAAAUGUGCACAAACAUUUACAUCAAUAUAUGAUAUGUAUAUUUUUACAUAGUUGACUUCUAUUGUAUAUCCAGUUCUACAUUAUUUUCCCCACUUGUUACAUAGUGUAUGUACAUUUUCUUAUAUCACUUAAUAUAUUUUAUAAUAUUUCAUAAUACAAGACACAUCCAGUCUUCUGCUGUUGGACAUUUAGGAUGUCUCCAUAUGUUUGUGAUUAUACGUAAUGUAAUGAACAUUUUCACUCACACAAUAAUUUUUUCUUUUUGUUCUUUUAUUUCUCUCUUCUGGAUUUUCAAACUCAGAACUCAUGUAACUCCCUCAAUGUUCAAUCUAUUCAAAUAAGUAGUAGCCUAGUUAAUAGCAAUUAUCUGUUAUCUACAGAGAGCUGUACUUGUGAAAAAUUGAAAAACUAUUUGGCUAUAAUUUUUCCUCAGUUAAGCAUAAUUUCACCAGAAAUAAUAUUAGUUAAUGCCUUUAGAUGGUCUUAAGUGAAGCCUAAGUAUUAAAAUGAAUGCAAUUGAACAAUUUACACUUAUUUUAGACAAUAAAUAUGAAAUAUUAAUGGAUAAUUCAAGAACUUAAUAUUUAGCAUUAUAGAAAAAUGUGAAAUAUUGGUGUGGUUUAAACAAUCUACUCUUAGAUACUUUAGUUCUACUCUGAAGAGGGGAAUAAAAGAAAAAAAAAAUCCCCUGAAGGAAAAGAAAAGCCAAGGAGAAACAGAAAGAACCACUUGCUUUUUUGAAAAAAAAAAAAAUAUUUUUUACUUAAAACUAUAAUUCCAAAAAAAUAUGAAAUUUUACAUUCUCUGGAAAUCAUUACAGAAAAACUUUAGUUUAAUUCUGCUGCCUCAGUUCUCUGGAUUUUACAAGGAGGAAGCUGGGUAGGACCACUGGAUUUGAAGAUUUGUGACCCUGGACAAUUUGCUUGUGCUAUCUUGGUCUCAUUGGCUUAAUCUGUACAAUGACUGUAUGAGAACUGAAUGUAAAGUCCCCGGAAGGAUGCCUGACGCAUAGCUGGCACUUAGUUCCUUCUGUUCCUGCUUUUAAAUGAUAAUGAGAGAUUCUUUCACGAGAUUUUUUUUUUUUUUUUUU